GUUGUAUGGUUAAGUGACUAAGCGUACACGGUGGAUGCCUGGGCAGUCAGAGGCGAUGAAGGACGUACUAACUUGCGAUAAGCGUAGAUGAGGCAGUAAGAGCCACUUGAGUCUACGAUUUCCGAAUGGGGAAACCCAGCUGCAUAAGCAGUUAUCUCAAUGUGAAUUCAUAGCAUUGUGAGGCGAACCGGGGGAACUGAAACAUCUAAGUACCCCGAGGAAGAGAAAUCAACCGAGAUUCCGGCAGUAGCGGCGAGCGAAACCGGAUUAGCCCUUAAGCUAAUCUUGCGUUAGGUGAACAUGCUGGAAAGCAUGGCAAUAAAGGGUGAUAGCCCCGUAACCAACAGCGC
rnacentral:rRNA from 1 species